rnacentral:tRNA from 1 species
AACAAGUGUUUUUAGUCUUCUAAACUAAUUUUGGGUGUAGCCUACUUGUUU